rnacentral:rRNA from 1 species
GGACGAACGCUGGCGGCGUGCUUAACACAUGCAAGUCGAGCGGGUAAGGCCCUUUCGGGGGUACACGAGCGGCGAACGGGUGAGUAACACGUGGGUGACCUGCCCUCAGCUCUGGGAUAAGCCUGGGAAACCGGGUCUAAUACUGGAUAUGACUCCAUGACGCAUGUUGUGGGGUGGAAAGCCUUGUGCGGCUGAGGAUGGGCCCGCGGCCUAUCAGCUUGUUGGUGGGGUGANGGCCUACCAAGGCGACGACGGGUAGCCGGCCUGAGAGGGCGACCGGCCACACUGGGACUGAGACACGGCCCAGACUCCUACGGGAGGCAGCAGUGGGGAAUCUUGCGCAAUGGGCGAAAGCCUGACGCAGCGACGCCGCGUGAGGGAUGACGGCCU